ensembl:lncRNA
GUUAAAACCCAGCGGCUAGGCUAACCGCUACCCUCUCCGACUGCCGGGACAGACGGACGCUGAGUGUAUUCCAACAUGGCCGACAAGACAUGGACACUGUACAGCACACUUCCAAAGACAUGAACACUGCGUACAGAGGCUUCACCAUGCCGACGGGAAGAGAUGGCACGAGGAGGGGUAUGGCUGUUAGAGAACAGUCACAUGACAGGAAGAAGGAAAUGGCCUUUUUCAAAAAACAGUCACAUGACAGAAAAAAAACGAAAAGCACUUGGAAGACGACAACAUGUGACGGAGAAUUAAUUCUGAGGACUAUUGUUAUUUGGUUCUGGUUGUAGAGAGAAGAGAUAUAUAUAUAUAUAUAAAAAUUUAAAGAACGCAUGCAUGGCAUUUUGCACAUGGAACACAACUUUAAAGGGG